GACUUAUAUUGCAAAAUCAAUAAUGAUAUAUUGCCAUAGGUUUACGUAAAUAAAUUCUAAGCAACAACAUUCCAUGAUGGGAAAAUUAAAUCUUCAAUCCCCCUACAAUUAAUUCUAAAAUCCCCUAAUCUAAAUUAAACAAUUAAAAAAUCCUGCAAAUACCUCUCGCCGUCGCCCCAUCACCGCCAACCAGCACCCGUUAUCACCGUCUGGCCGCUUUGUCACGGACCAAUCCACCGCCGCUGUUACUGUUAUGGGUCAAGCUGCUUCUAUCAUGGGUCAUAUUACAGCUGAAGCAAGUGGUGAGAACAAUAACAAUGAUGUUGUUACACCAAAGCGGGGUGGUGUUGCUGUUACAACUGAAGCAACAGUGGAGUUGAAACUUCUUAUCGACAAAGAGACCAACAACGUGAUAUUUGCCGAGGCUGGAAAAGAUUUUGUUGACAUUCUCUUUAGCUUCCUAACGCUGCCUUUAGGAACAAUUGCAAGAUUGAUAGAGAGUGGCCAAUUCAACUUGGUUGUCUGAACACAUUUUAUGCCAGUGUCAAAGCUCUAGAUAGAGAGUGUUUCACAACCAACACGAUCAAACAAAUGAUAUUUCCAUCAAAAGAGGAGACUCAAUGUUAUCACGACUAUCUUAAGCUUUAUAUCCAUGACAAUGAGCCCUACAAGUACUUUCUUUGUUCAAAACUUGAAAAGGAAUCUUGCUCUUUUUUUCUGAGCGCUUCUGCAAAUCAUAGUUGUUGCUGCGAAACAUCUAGGCAAAGAAUCUGUUCGAGAUGGUAACACUUUUAUCAUUACUGCUGAUCUGGCUGUUUAUCCACUCACCACAGAAUAUUUAACUUUCUUGACUUCAUAUGUGAGAGGGAGAUUGUAUGUGUUUUUGUUCGUUGAGGUAUGCUUGUGAACAUGUUUAAAAUUGUACUUGGAAUUGAAUGACCAAAUGAGGUUAGGAAACCAACAUCAUAUACGGAUAUAGUUUAUUAUGAAAUUAAUCAUGUUAUAGUUGGAUGUAAGGGUCAUUAUGAAGUUGUGUUAAUUGGAAAUACACAUAUGAUCUUGGUUGUCCUGUUGUCUAAUUUAAAUUGGAGUUCCUCAUAUAAUGCCAUAUAGAAAACUGUUGUUGCUAUUAGUUGUUUUAAAAAUUUGUUGUUGCUAUUCGCUGAUGUAACAGUUGAUGUUAUUGUUGGUUGCAAUAGAAAAAUGUUGUUGUUGUUUGUUGUUUUAUGAUUUGCUGUUGCUGCUAGCCGUGAAGAAUCAGGAGAUCACAUACAUUGAUUAAGUGAUGAUUGCAUGCUAACAUAGAUUGAUAGAAUAUUGUUUGAAUGUUAAUUGAUUGAGUUAUGAAUUUGACGAACUUAUCUACUCUACUAGCUCAAUAAAAUUGCAUGACAUGUUUUGCCAUCAUUGUUUUCUAGUUUGAUAGUUGCGAUUGUUAAAUUAUUUGUCAUGCCUAAGCAUGAUACUUUAGUAAAUUCUAUUCUAGUAGUAAGUCGGUGGUAAGUGUUAACCGUACAAACACCAUUCUUUUAAUUUCCUCGUCAUCAAUUCAUAUUGAUUAGUGUGCUGUACAGGUACUAGAACUUCUAAAGCACGCUUUGGUUUCCCAAACCUCUCUUACAGAUUGGCUUUUAGGAAACAAACCAACCCUCGAAAUGUCACGGUUCUUCCCUUGUGAUGUUAAAAACAAUAGUGACAUCAAAUUUAGUGUGACACUGGUCUUAAAAAAAUCUGUAAACAAAAUUCUGUAUGCUCUAGUGAGUAAAGAAUUUGCUGAUUUUUUACUCAGCCUUCUCUCAUUUCCUUUGGGAGCUGUUAUUCAUUUAUUAGAAGGGAAAUCUUGUGUAGGAAAUAUGGAUUUGAUAUACAAUAGCAUACUUAAGUUGGAUGACAGAUAUAUGAGAUCAAUGGAUUCAAAAAAGUGGCUCAUUAAUCCACGCAUGGGCUGUCAAUUUAAGUUAAGCAACCAGAUUUCGGAAAUUGAAGAAAAGAUGCCGUAUUAUUGUUAUUAUCAAGGUAAUACCUUCAAAGAAAGUAUCGGCCAUGGAGAAUUUUACAUAACCGAUGUAUUCAAGAUUCUUGAGAAAAAGAUGAGUUGGUCUUCAAACCAUCUUGCCCAAUUUCAGAUUUCGAGUUUUUGAUGUCUCUGGAGAUUCCUCUAAAUGACGUGAAGAACAAGGCCGUCACUUUUGGGCUAAAAGAGUGUUUGAACAUAUUGAAGGCCGCUUUGACUUCAGAUUCUGCACUAACAAAUGGUUUGCUAUGCUACAUUGACCCUAUGUUACAAAUAGUCUAGGAUAUUUUUGUUUCUCCAAAGGUUGUAAUGGACAACAUGACUAGAUUUAGUCGUAGGAUGAUUAAUUUUCCUUCUUUGAUGUUAAGCAUAUCUAUUGCUAAUUGUGUUUUGAUAAUAGGUCUUUGCAUCCCAUUUUUUUUGUCAUCUAUUUAUUUUGAAAUGAAAUUAUAGAGCGAGUCAAAGAGAGACAGUAGUGAAUCAGAAGUUUACUCCAUCUUAUUCUUUAUUUUUCUGAUUUUUGCUAUCGUCAUGGAUAUCUUUUACUAUUAUAGAGUGAUUUUGUAUGUUUUUAAUGGAAGUUUGAGUAUGAAAAGUGGUGAACCUUGUAUGA